rnacentral:tRNA from 2 species
CGGGACGUGGCGCAGCCUGGUAGCGCAUCUGCUUUGGGAGCAGAGGGUCGGAGGUUCAAAUCCUCUCGUCCCGA